AACCCCAUCUCAACGGGUUAUACACUGUAUUUGGCAGAGUAAUUCAUGGCUUUGAAGUGCUUGAUCUCAUGGAGAAGACUCAAACAGGACCAGGUGAUCGACCUCUUGCAGAGAUAAGGAUCAAUAGAGUGACGAUACAUGCUAAUCCACUUGCUGGCUAGUUGCAUCUCAGAAUGUCUGUUUGGGUAGCAUUGUGAUGACUUGUUGGCAUGUUUUUAACAUUAAUUUUGGGAUUGGAUUGAAUACAUAGAGAAAGUGAGACUGCUGAUGCUACCUGUAGUUUAAUGUAAA
rnacentral:misc_RNA from 1 species